rnacentral:tRNA from 1 species
UAGCUCAGUUGGUAGAGCACGACCUUGCCAAGGUCGGGGUCGCGGGUUCGAAUCCCGU